UACGUAGGGUGCAAGCGUUGUCCGGAAUUAUUGGGCGUAAAGAGCUCGUAGGCGGCCUGUCGCGUCGGCUGUGAAAACCCGGGGCUCAACCCCGGGCCUGCAGUCGAUACGGGCAAACUAGAGUACUGCAGGGGAGACUGGAAUUCCUGGUGUAGCGGUGAAAUGCGCAGAUAUCAGGAGGAACACCGGUGGCGAAGGCGGGUCUCUGGGCAGUAACUGACGCUGAGGAGCGAAAGCGUGGGGAGCGAACAGG
rnacentral:rRNA from 1 species